rnacentral:misc_RNA from 1 species
CACCGCGGUAAUUCCAGCUCCAAUAGCGUAUAUUAAAGUUGUUGCAGUUAAAAAGCUCGUAGUUGAAUUUCGGGAUUGACACAUCGGUCGUGCCUUAAGGGGUAUGAACUGGUGUAGUCAAUUUCUCACCUUCUGGAGAACCGCAAUGCCCUUAAUUGGGUGUUGCGGGGAACCAGGACCUUUACUUUGAAAAAAUUAGAGUGUUUAAAGCAGGCAUUUUGCUUGAAUACAUUAGCAUGGAAUAAUAAAAUAGGACGGAUGAUUCUAUUUUGUUGGUUUCUAGGACCACCGUAAUGAUUAAUAGGGAUAGUUGGGGGCAUUAGUAUUCAAUUGUCAGAGGUGAAAUUCUUGGAUUUAUUGAAGACUAACUACUGCGAAAGCAUUUGCCAAGGAUGUUUUCAUUAAUCAAGAACGAAAGUUAGGGGAUCGAAGACGAUCAGAUACCGUCGUAGUCUUAACCAUAAACUAUGCCGACUAGGAAUCAGACGAUGUUAAUUUUUUAAUGACUCGUUUGGCACCUUACG